rnacentral:sRNA from 1 species
UGGUAGAUGCACCCUGAUUGUCUAAUCCUCCGUCAGCGUGAGUGCUGACGGAGGAUUUUUUU